UACGUAGGGUGCGAGCGUUAAUCGGAAUUACUGGGCGUAAAGGGUGCGCAGGCGGUCCUGCAAGUCAGGCGUGAAAUCCCCGGGCUUAACCUGGGAAUGGCACUUGAAACUACGGGACUGGAGUAUGGCAGAGGGAGGUGGAAUUCGACGUGUAGCGGUGAAAUGCGUAGAGAUGUGGAGGAACACCGAUGGCGAAGGCAGCCUCCUGGGCCAAUACUGACGCUGAGGCGCGAAAGCGUGGGGAGCAAACAGG
rnacentral:rRNA from 1 species